rnacentral:rRNA from 1 species
GACAUAGGUGGCAAACGUUAUCCGGAUUUAUUGGGCGUAAAGGGUGCGUAGGUGGUGAGGUAAGUCGGAUGUGAAAUCUCCGGGCUCAACCCGGAAAUGGCAUUGGAAACUACCUUGCUGGAGGAUUUGAGGGGGGAUUGGAAUACUUGGUGUAGCAGUGAAAUGCGUAGAUAUCAAGUGGAACACCAGUGGCGAAGGCGAAUCCCUGGAAAAUACCUGACACUGAGGCACGAAAGCUAGGGGAGCAAACAGG